rnacentral:rRNA from 1 species
AUUGUACGCUGGCGGCAUGCCUUACACAUGCAAGUCGAACGGUAACAGGUCUUCGGAUGCUGACGAGUGGCGAACGGGUGAGUAAUACAUCGGAACGUGCCUAGUAGUGGGGGAUAACUACUCGAAAGAGUGGCUAAUACCGCAUGAGAUCUACGGAUGAAAGCAGGGGAUCGCAAGACCUUGUGCUACUAGAGCGGCCGAUGGCAGAUUAGGUAGUUGGUGGGAUAAAAGCUUACCAAACCGACGAUCUGUAGCUGGUCUGAGAGGACGAUCAGCCACACUGGGACUGAGACACGGCCCAGACUCCUACGGGAGGCAGCAGUGGGGAAUUUUGGACAAUGGGCGCAAGCCUGAUCCAGCAAUGCCGCGUGCAGGAUGAAGGCCUUCGGGUUGUAAACUGCUUUUGUACGGAACGAAAAGCCCCGGGUUAAUACCCUGGGGUCAUGACGGUACCGUAAGAAUAAGCACCGGCUAACCACGUGCCAGCCGCCGCCGUAA